AUUUGUUGGACAAUUGGGGGCAAGCCUGAUCCAGCCAUGCCGCGUGUCUGAAGAAGGGUUCGGGUUGUAAAGGACUUUUGUCAGGGAAGAAAAGGGUGUUGUAAUAUCGACAGCUGAUGACGGUCCCUGAAGAAUAAGCACCGGCUAACUACGUGCCAGCAGCCGCGGUAAUACGUAGGGGGGGGAGGGGUUAAUCGGAAUUACUGGGCGAAGAGAAAGCGCGGCCGCUUCCUUAAGCAGGAUGUGAAAUCCCCGGGCUCAACCUGGGAACUGCGGUCUGAACUAGGGCCCUCGAGGGUGUCAGAAGGGAGGGAGAAUUUCCAGGUGUAGCAGUGAAAAGGGGAAGUGAGUUGGAGAAAAACCGCUGGGCGAAGGGAGCCUCCGGGGAUUACACUAAAUUCAUGCUCGAAAGCGUGGGUCGAAACAGGUUAAAACCCUGGUAGUCCACGCCCUAAAAUUUGUCAAUAAGCUGUUGCCAAUUUGAUUGCUUAGCAGCGGAGCUACCCCCGGAAAUUAA
rnacentral:rRNA from 1 species